UGGGAUUACAAGUGUGUACAACUUUCCUGC
rnacentral:piRNA from 1 species